CAAAUUAUAGCAUAUAAAAUGCUUUUUAUUUACACUAAAAAAAAAAUACCAGUAUUUAAUUUGA
rnacentral:tRNA from 1 species